UACGUAGGGGGCAAGCGUUGUCCGGAUUUAUUGGGCGUAAAGAGCGUGUAGGCGGCCAGAAAAGUCCGCUGUGAAAACUCGAGGCUCAACUUCGAGCUGUCGGUGGAAACUUUCUGGCUAGAGUCCGGAAGAGGAGAAUGGAAUUCCUGGUGUAGCGGUGAAAUGCGCAGAUAUCAGGAAGAACGCCCGUGGCGAAGGCGGUUCUCUGGGACGGUACUGACGCUGAGACGCGAAAGCGUGGGGAGCGAACAGG
rnacentral:rRNA from 1 species